GUUGUAGCUCAGUUGGUUAGAGCACUGGAUUGUGAUUCCAGGGGUCGCCGGUUCGAGCCCGGUCAG
rnacentral:tRNA from 1 species